rnacentral:rRNA from 1 species
AUUGAACGCUGGCGGCAUGCUUUACACAUGCAAGUCGAACGGUAACAGGCCUUCGGUUGCUGACGAGUGGCGAACGGGUGAGUAAUGCAUCGGAACGUGCCCAGAGGUGGGGGAUAACGCAGCGAAAGCUGUGCUAAUACCGCAUGUGAUCUGAGGAUGAAAGCGGGGGACCAGGCAGCAAUGUUUGGCCUCGCGCCUUUGUAGCGGCCGAUGUCAGAUUAGGUAGUUGGUGGGGUAAAGGCCUACCAAGCCGACGAUCCGUAGCUGGUCUGAGAGGACGACCAGCCACACUGGGACUGAGACACGGCCCAGACUCCUACGGGAGGCAGCAGUGGGGAAUUUUGGACAAUGGGCGCAAGCCUGAUCCAGCAAUGCCGCGUGAGGGAAGAAGGCCUUCGGGUUGUAAACCGCUUUUGUACGGAACGAAAAGGCUCUGGCUAAUACCUGGGGCUGAUGACGGUACCGUAAGAAUAAGCACCGGCUAACUACGUG